rnacentral:rRNA from 1 species
UACGGGGGGGCAAGCGUUAUCCGGAUUUACUGGGUUAAAGGGUGUGUAGGCGGACUUUUAAGUCAGCGGUGAAAUCUCCGGGCUCAACCCGGAAACUGCCAUUGAUACUAUUAGUCUUGAAUAUUGUUGAGGUAGGCGGAACGGGUCAUGUAGCGGUGAAAUGCAUAGAUAUGACCCGGAACACCGAUUGCGAAGGCAGCCUACUAAGCAAUUAUUGACGCUGAGGCACGAAAGCGUGGGAUCAAACAGG